rnacentral:rRNA from 1 species
CCUACGGGUGGCAGCAGUGGGGGAUAUUGCACAAUGGGGGGAACCCUGAUGCAGCGACGCCGCGUGGGUGAAGAAGCGCCUCGGCGCGUAAAGCCCUGUCAGCAGGGAAGAAAAUGACGGUACCUGCAGACGACGCCCCGGCUACCUACGUGCCAGCCGCCGCGGUACUACGUAGGGGGCAAGCGUUAUCCGGAUUUACUGGGUGUAACGGGGGCGCAGACGGCGAUGCAAGCCAGGAGUGAAAGCCCGGGGCCCAACCCCGGGACUGCGCUUGGAACUGCGUGGCUGGAGUGCAGGAGGGGCAGGCGGAAUUCCUGGUGUAGCGGUGAAAUGCGUAGAUAUCAGGAGGAACACCGGUGGCGAAGGCGGCCUGCUGGACUGCAACUGACGUUGAGGCCCGAAAGCGUGGGGAGCAAACAGGAUUAGAUACCCGGGUAGUC